GAUGAACGCUGGCGGCGUGCCUAAUACAUGCAAGUCGAGCGAACUUUUGGGAGCUUGCUCCCAAAAGUUAGCGGCGGACGGGUGAGUAACACGUGGGUAACCUGCCUGUAAGACUGGGAUAACUUCGGGAAACCGGAGCUAAUACCGGAUAACAUUGAAGACCACAUGGCCUCCAAUUAAAAGGUGGCUUUUAGCUACCACUUACAGAUGGACCCGCGGCGCAUUAGCUAGUUGGUGAGGUAACGGCUCACCAAGGCGACGAUGCGUAGCCGACCUGAGAGGGUGAUCGGCCACACUGGGACUGAGACACGGCCCAGACUCCUACGGGAGGCAGCAGUAGGGAAUCUUCCGCAAUGGACGAAAGUCUGACGGAGCAACGCCGCGUGAGCGAAGAAGGCCUUCGGGUCGUAAAGCUCUGUUGUUAGGGAAGAACAAGUAUCGUUCGAAUAGGGCGGUACCUUGACGGUACCUAACCAGAAAGCCACGGCUAACUACGUG
rnacentral:rRNA from 1 species